AGUGAACGCUGGCGGCGUGCUUAACACAUGCAAGUCGAACGAGAACGGAAUAUAGCUUGCUAUAUUUGUCAGCUAAGUGGCGCACGGGUGAGUAAUGUAUAGAUAACCUGCCCUUAAGAAAGGAAUAACAGUUGGAAACGACUGCUAAUGCCCUAUAUGCCUUUAAUACAUAAGUAUGCAAGGGAAACGCUUUAGUGCUUAAGGAUGGGUCUGUAUGGUAUCAGCUUGUUGGUGAGGUAAUGGCUCACCAAGGCUAUGACGCCUAACUGGUUUGAGAGGAUGAUCGGUCACACUGGAACUGAGACACGGUCCAGACUCCUACCGGAGGCAGCAGUGGGAAAUAUUGCACAUUGGACGAAAGUCUGAUGCAGCAACACCGCGUGGAGGAUAACACAUUUCGGUGCGUAAACUCCUUUUAUAUAGGAAGAUAAUGACGGUACUAUAUGAAUAAGCACCGGCUAACUCCGUGCCAGCCGCCGCCGUAACAC
rnacentral:rRNA from 1 species